UAGGAAGUAGGGCUGGACUGGAGAAGAUGCAGUGUUGAGGCUGUGUUCUAAGGGUGGACCUAGUCACUGACCCUUUCCUGUCUGUCUCUCCAGGUCUAUGGAAGCCACGUAGUGGGAGGACAGAGCCAUCUCCUGCACGCUGUCCUCACACCAUCAAUAGGCCAAGAAAAGAAUUCAAGCCUGGCUCUCUGAACCUAGCCAAACCUUGUUAUGGAAGCCAUAGGCUCCAAAGGGAAGCCUGCUAGUACUCACAGUUGUGGUUAUGCUAAAUAGUCACGUCAAAGGAAUUGGCAGAGAGUGAUUGAGAAAGAUGCCUGACACCCUCUCCUGGACUUCUCAGGAAUGCAAGCAUGUGCGCCUGCACACACUCAUAAACAAACAGGUAAGUAAAUAACACCCUUGUGGU
rnacentral:lncRNA from 1 species